GACGAACGCUGGCGGCGUGCCUAAUACAUGCAAGUUGAGCGAUGAAGAUUGGUGCUUGCACCAAUUUGAAGAGCAGCGAACGGGUGAGUAACGCGUGGGGAAUCUGCCUUUGAGCGGGGGACAACAUUUGGAAACGAAUGCUAAUACCGCAUAAUAACUUUAAACAUAAGUUUUAAGUUUGAAAGAUGCAAUUGCAUCACUCAAAGAUGAUCCCGCGUUGUAUUAGCUAGUUGGUGAGGUAAAGGCUCACCAAGGCGAUGAUACAUAGCCGACCUGAGAGGGUGCGCGGCCUCGUUGGGCCUGGGACGCGGCCCAAACUCCUGCGGGAGGCAGCCGUAGGGGAUCUUCGGCGAUGGACGCAAGUCUGACCGAGCAACGCCGCGUGAGUGCAGAAGGUUGUCGGAUCGUAAAACUCUGUUGGUAGAGAAGAACGUUGGUGAGAGUGGAAAGCGCAUAAAGUGACGGUAACUACCCAGAAAGGGACGGCUAACUACGUG
rnacentral:rRNA from 1 species